rnacentral:rRNA from 1 species
UACGAAGGGGGCUAGCGUUGCUCGGAAUCACUGGGCGUAAAGCGCACGUAGGCGGCUUUCUAAGUCAGGGGUGAAAUCCUGGAGCUCAACUCCAGAACUGCCUUUGAUACUGGAGAGCUUGAGUCCGGAAGAGGUGAGUGGAACUCCGAGUGUAGAGGUGAAAUUCGUAGAUAUUCGCAAGAACACCAGUGGCGAAGGCGGCUCACUGGUCCGGUUCUGACGCUGAGGUGCGAAAGCGUGGGGAGCAAACAGG